AGAAUGUAAGCAGACUUCCGAGAAAAUCUUCUAAGCAUAUUGAUACGGUACCCGUACCGCAAACCGACACAGGUAGUCAAGGAGAGAAUCCUGAGGUGCUCGAGUGAGUCAUGGCUAAGGAACUAGGCAAAUUAAACCUGUAACUUCGGGAAAAGGGUUGCCUCUCUUUAGCAAUAAAGAAGGUCGCAGAGAAAUGGCCCAGGCGACUGUUUAACAAAAACACAUGGCUAUGCGAAAUCGUAAGAUGAAGUAUAUGGCCUGACACCUGCCCGGUGCUGGAAGGUUAAGGGGGGAAGUUAGUCGCAAGGCGAAGCUUUGAACUGAAGCCCCAGUAAACGGCGGUCGUAACUAUAACGGUCCUAAGGUAGCGAAAUUCCUUGUCGGGUAAGUUCCGACCUGCACGAAUGGUGUAACGAUCUGGGCACUGUCUCAGCCAUGAGCUCGGUGAAAUUGUAGUCACGGUGAAGAUGCCGUGUACCCGUCACGGGACGGAAAGACCCCAUGCACCUUUACUAUAGCUUCGCAUUGACAUUGGGUAGAUGAUGUGUAGGAUAGGUGGGAGGCGUUGAUCCUGUGCCGCUAGGUAUAGGGGAGCCAACGGUGAAAUACCACCCUUUAUUUAUCUGAUGUCUAAUCCGCAAGACCUGCGGAGACAGUGCGUGGUGGGUAGUUUGACUGGGGUGGUCGCCUCCGAAAGUGUAUCGGAGGCUUUCAAAGGUAUGCUCAAUACGCUUGGUAACCGUAUGUGGAGUGCAAUAGCAUAAGCAUGCUUGACUGUGAGACUGACAAGUCGAGCAGGGUCGAAAGACGGAUAUAGUGAUCCGGUGGUUCUGUAUGGAAGGGCCAUCGCUCAAAGGAUAAAAGGUACGCUGGGAUAACAGGCUGAUCUCCCCCAAGAGCUCACAUCGACGGGGAGGUUUGGCACCUCGAUGUCGGCUCGUCACAUCCUGGGGCUGGAGAAGGUCCCAAGGGUUAGGCUGUUCGCCUAUUAAAGUGGCACGCGAGCUGGGUCCAGAACGUCGUGAGACAGUUCGGUCCCUAUCUGUGAUGGGCGUAGGAAGUUUGAGAGGAUCUGACCUUAGUACGAGAGGACCGGGUUGGACCAACCGCUGGUGUAUCGGUUGUGGCGUCAGCUGCAUCGCCGGGUAGCUACGUUGGGACGAGAUAAGCGCUGAAAGCAUCUAAGCGCGAAACUCACCUCAAGAUGAGACUUCCAUUAAGGGACGUCAGAGACUAUGACGUUGAUAGGCUGCAGGUGUAAAGGCAGAAAUGUCAAAGCUGAGCAGUACUAAUUACCCAA
rnacentral:rRNA from 1 species